UUGCAUAAAAUUACUUUUGGGUCGGCUUAUUUAUGCUAAAAUUUAGUCCAGAUUUCAUAUGGCAUGCUUGUGUAGUUCGAUCUAGUUAUGAGUUGUUGUAUAAUUGGAACUAUACUUAUGUGAUUCUGGGGUUUGGUAUAGACAUGGUCAAGGGUUUGUUUGGACUGCUUUGAUGUAGAAUGCAUUUUAUGCAAACAUGGUGAUUGUUUUUAUGUGCUUUGCUUGAGUCAAAAGUUUUGGGUUUCAUACUAUGAUUGUUUGUGUUUUCUCCUUUGUUUUGUCAGAUACUAAAUAAUAAUGUUUUAAGUUUAUAUUACCCACCUUGCUUUCUGGGAUAUUUUUGCAGAUUUUUUCUCCUUCAUCCUCAACGAAUCUUCUUCGUUCCUCAGAAAUUCAAUCUCCAUUAAUACACGAAAUCUCUGCGUCGUUUCUGACUUUAAAUCGGACAAUGAUCGCAAGAAUCUUCCUUUCAAGGAGCUGAGUUAUUUUUUAGGAGCGUGCUGGCAAGCAUGGAAAAAGGUGUACUUAAACACGAACCCCGCAUCAAAACAAAUAUUAGAGCUUGUUCAAUAUGUCGACAGCAACCAAAUUUGCUAUGAUCAUUUAGCAUUUAGAACAUUCGGGUUAUUUCUGGUUUUUAAUUUUGCGUAUUGUACCAGUCAUUUAUAGGCUUUUCUAUCACUGAUAUGAGAUUUUGUGAGUGACAUCUUUGUCUUCACUGGUAUAAAAAUACCUAUAUUUAAAUAA